AAGUUAUUGCACUCAGGCACUUUCUCAGUCGCCUAUACUGGGUCCUUCGUUCCUCCCGUAGUGUCCACGUGGAGAUCAUCAUGCGCUCUUAAAGUGGUAUAGACGGGUUCAUUGUACGGCAUAUGGCGCAGCAGGAAGUGGCUGGUGUGCUAAGUCACAUGUCGACACCAUGAGGACAAGGAGCAACCUUGUGCUUUUGAACUCCAGGUGAGCAGCCCUGCGGUAAAAAUUCAGUAAAGGGCUGCAACCGCAACAUGGACGGGGUCACAUGACACCUGGGUCUAUGUUCACAGAAGAGUGAUCCUUUCCAGUGGUGGUAAAUUACCCAGCAUUCACGGACUAGUGGUGUGCGAGGUGAGUUUUACUAACACUGACUCUCAGUGACAAACUCGAUUUGUUUUGACUUGAUUCAUAUUUUGCUGCUUUGUAAUGAUUUGUAUGGUACAUAAAUUUGAGUUCA